GACGAACGCUGGUGGCGUGCUUAACACAUGCAAGUCGAACGGAAAGGCCCUGCUUUUGUGGGGUGCUCGAGUGGCGAACGGGUGAGUAACACGUGAGUAACCUGCCCUUGACUUUGGGAUAACUUCAGGAAACUGGGGCUAAUACCGGAUAGGAGCUCCUGCUGCAUGGUGGGGGUUGGAAAGUUUCGGCGGUUGGGGAUGGACUCGCGGCUUAUCAGCUUGUUGGUGGGGUAGUGGCUUACCCAGGCUUUGACGGGUAGCCGGCCUGAGAGGGUGACCGGCCACAUUGGGACUGAGAUACGGCCCAGACUCCUACGGGAGGCAGCAGUGGGGAAUAUUGCACAAUGGGCGGAAGCCUGAUGCAGCAACGCCGCGUGCGGGAUGACGGCCUUCGGGUUGUAAACCGCUUUCGCCUGUGACGAAGCGUGAGUGACGGUAAUGGGUAAAGAAGCACCGGCUAACUACGUG
rnacentral:rRNA from 1 species